GACGAACGCUGGCGGCGUGCUUAACACAUGCAAGUCGAACGAAGUGGCGAACGGGUGAGUAACGCGUAAUCAACCUGCCCUUCAGAGGGGGUCAACAGUUGGAAACGACUGCUAAUACCGCAUACUGAAGGAGGGGAUUGCGUCUGAUUAGCUCGUUGGAGGGGUAACGGCCCACCAAGGCGAUGAUCCGGAGCCGGGCGGAGGGGAAGAACGGCCAACUGGGGACUGAGACACGGCCCAGGCGCCUACGGGAGGGAGCAGGGGGGAAACUUCCGAAAUGGACGAAAGUCUGACGGAGCAACGCCGGGUGGGUGAUGACGGCCUUCGGGUUGUAAAGGUCUGUUAAGCGGGACGCGGUACCGGAAUAGAAAGCAACGGCUAACUACGUGCCAGCAGCCGCGGUAAUAC
rnacentral:rRNA from 1 species